ACGUAGGGUGCGAGCGUUAAUCGGAAUUACUGGGCGUAAAGCGUGCGCAGGCGGAUUGUUAAGCAAGACGUGAAAUCCCCGGGCUUAACCUGGGAAUGGCGUUUUGAACUGGCAGUCUAGAGUGCGUCAGAGGGGGGUGGAAUUCCACGUGUAGCAGUGAAAUGCGUAGAGAUGUGGAGGAACACCGAUGGCGAAGGCAGCCCCCUGGGAUGACACUGACGCUCAUGUACGAAAGCGUGGGUAGCAAACAGGAUUAGAUACCCUGGUAGUCCACGCCCUAAACGAUGUCAACUGGUUGUUGGGGGAGUGAAAUCCCUUAGUAACGAAGCUAACGCGUGAAGUUGACCGCCUGGGGAGUACGGUCGCAAGAUUA
rnacentral:rRNA from 1 species